AUUGAACGCUGGCGGCAGGCUUAACACAUGCAAGUCGAGCGGGGAAAGGUAGCUUGCUACCUGACCUAGCGGCGGACGGGUGAGUAAUGCUUAGGAAUCUGCCUAUUAGUGGGGGACAACAUUCCGAAAGGAAUGCUAAUACCGCAUACGCCCUACGGGGGAAAGCAGGGGAUCUUCGGACCUUGCGCUAAUAGAUGAGCCUAAGUCAGAUUAGCUAGUUGGUGGGGUAAAGGCCUACCAAGGCGACGAUCUGUAGCGGGUCUGAGAGGAUGAUCCGCCACACUGGGACUGAGACACGGCCCAGACUCCUACGGGAGGUAGCAGUGGGGAAUAUUGGACAAUGGGCGCAAGCCUGAUCCAGCCAUGCCGCGUGUGUGAAGAAGGCCUUUUGGUUGUAAAGCACUUUAAGCGAGGAGGAGGCUACUUGGAUUAAUACUCUAGGAUAGUGGACGUUACUCGCAGAAUAAGCACCGGCUAACUCUGUGCCAGCAGCCGCGGUAAAAC
rnacentral:rRNA from 1 species